GCAAGUCGAGCGGAAACGACAACAUUGAAUCUUUGGAGGAUUUGUUGGGCGUCGAGCGGCGGACGGGUGAGUAAUGCCUAGGAAAUUGCCUUGAUGUGGGGGAUAACCAUUGGAAACGAUGGCUAAUACCGCAUAAUGCCUACGGGCCAAAGAGGUGGAUCUUCGGACCUCUCGCGUCAAGAUAUGCCUAGGUGGGAUUAGCUAGUUGGUGAGGUAAUGGCUCACCAAGGCGACGAUCCCUAGCUGGUCUGAGAGGAUGAUC
rnacentral:rRNA from 1 species